AGUUCAAAUUUACAGGUCUGAGUUUCUCUCAAACUCAUUGCUUUUGUUGGGGGCGUGGAGGUCAUACUUCAUAUGUGAGCAAAGAGGAAGGAGUUGAUUUUAUGUGGAGCAAAGGUGAGGUCUCAGCAGAGGUGUUUGAAUCAGGAAAAAACGUUUGGCCCAUCAGAAUUGGGUGCUUGAGUCCCGAGGAUCAGAUACCCAAGUGGUCAAUGAUGUCAAUGCAAUAUACAAGUAGUGAGAAUUAUUACUUCAUAUGCAUGGAAAUCUUCAACAACAGAGUGAAGAGAACUAAGCAAGCGUGCUACAUUCGGAAGGCAAUCCUUGUGAAGAGGAGUUGCUAGGAGAACAUUAUUGGGGGUAGUGAUCCAUUGGAUUCUAUUUUCAAUGAAUGGUUUCAAGUGAUGGAGGAUUGCAAACGAUGUGCGCAGAAGGAUCUGUCUCUGUUGAAUGAACAAAUGUUAGGUAUGGGUUGGGCUGCUAAAAACAUUUUGUUAAGUACACAGGAGCAGGCUCGAUACAGUUUUGUAGAUGACUGAAGCUUUGGGAAUGUUUUCUUGAAGAUUGGCAGCUUUCUCUUCAUACGGAGAGUUUUGGGGAUCAAUCUUAA